UACGUAGGGUGCAAGCGUUGUCCGGAAUUAUUGGGCGUAAAGAGCUCGUAGGCGGUCUGUCGCGUCGGAUGUGAAAAUCCAGGGCUCAACCCUGGACCUGCAUUCGAUACGGGCAGACUAGAGUUCGGUAGGGGAGACUGGAAUUCCUGGUGUAGCGGUGAAAUGCGCAGAUAUCAGGAGGAACACCGAUGGCGAAGGCGGUUCUCUGGGCAUUACCUGACGCUGAGGAGCGAAAGUGUGAGGAGCGAACAGG
rnacentral:rRNA from 1 species